rnacentral:rRNA from 1 species
UGGGAUACCACCCUUGUAGUACUGGGACUCUAACCAUAGGCCAUGAAUCUGGUCUUGGGACACUGUCAGGUGGGCAGUUUGACUGGGGCGGUCGCCUCCCAAAAGGUAACGGAGGCGCUCAAAGGUUCUCUCAGUACGGUCGGAAAUCGUACGUAGAGUGUAAAGGCAAAAGAGAGCUUGAUUGCAAGACAUACAGGUCGAGCAAGGAUGAAAAUCGGACUUAGUGAUCCGGUGGUUCUGCGUGGAAGGGCCAUCGCUCAACGGAUAAAAGCUACCCUGGGGAUAACAGGCUUAUCUCCCCCAAGAGUCCACAUCGACGGGGAGGUUUGGCACCUCGAUGUCGGCUCAUCACAUCCUGGGGCUGUAGUAGGUCCCAAGGGUUGGGCUGUUCGCCCAUUAAAGUGGUACGCGAGCUGGGUUCAGAACGUCGUGAGACAGUUCGGUCCCUAUCCGUCGCAGGCGUAGGAAAUUUGAGAAGACCUGUCCUUAGUACGAGAGGACCGGGAUGGACGUACCUCUGGUGUACCAGUUGUCCUGCCAAGGGCAUGGCUGGGUAGCUAUGUACGGAAUGGAUAAGCGCUGAAAGCAUCUAAGCGCGAAGCCAACUUCAAGAUAAGAUUUCCCACCGCAAGGGUAAGACCCCAGAAAGACUAUCUGGUUGAUAGGUCGAAGGUGUAAGUGCAGCAAUGUAUUUAGCUUAUCGAUACUAAUAG